ACUAUGGUUGGGGAUUUCCUGCGUGGAUGAAAAUAAAAGGGGUGAGUUUGGAGAAACUCAGUGUGUAAGGAAAACCCAUUCAAAGCCCAAGUCAGCUCAAGCCUAUUGGGCCUAAGCCCAUUCAGGUAACAGUGGUACUGGGCCAGAGCCCUUUUCAGAUUACAAUAAACUGGGCCUUAGCCCCUUAUUCAGAUAACAGAAUGGCCCAUAGGCCCAUUUUAAAAUACAUGCAACAUCAAUAAACAUAUGCAAGCCCAUUUGGGGAGACUACUCAACCCACCAACCACUACACUCCACCCGUACCUGCCAUACACUCCAUGUGGGGAAUAGCUCAACCCACCCAGCCCAACACUCCACAGUUGCAGCCUUGCUGCUCAGUUAACAAUAAAUUGAGGCAAAGCCUCCAGUACGUGGACAAGCCACUUUCAGUACUUCCUCCAUCAAUAUCUCAGUCCCAUGCAUCAGAUAAUAACAACAUGGCAUGCAGUAAAUAACAACAGUCAAACAUGCAUUUAGGUCAAUUUAACCCUAGGGGUAUUUCGGUAAUUUAUCUCCUAGGGGUAAAACUGUAAAUUUUCCACUUUUAAAGAUAUUUCAGUAAUUUAUCUAUUUUAGGGUUUUUCAUGCAUAUUCCUACCUUUCACGUACUAAUAGAAUCACUACCGAGGGUUCUUACCGAAUUGGGCCCAUUGGCCCAUCAUUCCAAUUUUGGCCCAUUAUAAAAUAUCGAGGGCACAGAAAUCAUGCACUUUGCAAUCCAAAUUUUGCAGUUUACCAAAAACAUUAAUCGAUUUACCUCACGAGCAUUCGCACACUCGCAAAUCUACAAAAUACCAGUUUUCGGCAUUUCGGCUUUUCGACUUUUGCCGAUCCAGACUAAGAAAGAGGGUGUUAGUUACACACCUGUUUGCGACGAUAUGCUGACGAGAUCCACACACGAACCACCUACAAUUGGAUUACUAACACGUUAAUCUAACUAUUCAAAUAAAAACUACGUAUUAACCCCUUACAAUAUUCGGCCAACCACACCUAUAGAUUAUAGUAAGCUUAUAAGAAAUCAAUAAACAACUCAUUAACAAAUUUUUGUCAAUGUUUACCACAUACUCACAAUUUCACUGCAAGCUGUCUUCUUAAGCAACAGUCACUAAAUCAUUUAUAACUAGAGCUACGAAACUCCAAAUCAAGUUCCGUUAAUUUUCCCUGAAAAUAGACUCAUAUAUCUUAUAUCCAUAAAAUUUUCAGAAUUUUUGGUUUGGCCAAUCAAUACCAGAUUUUUCUCAAAGUUUCGCAUGUUUCACUGUUUGACUAAUCUGACCACUCUUCAUUACGAAUCAAAUUUCUCAUUGUACAGAAUUCAAAAUAUGUUCUCGUUUAUUUAAUUUGAAACUAGACUCCAAAAGCUUUAAUUACAUAAUUUAUUCAGCUUCUAAUUCAUCUCCCACAAUUUAUGGUGAUUUUCCAAAGUCACGUUACUGCUGCUGUCCCAAGCAGAUUUAUUAUCAAAUUCACUCUUUCACACAUAACUUGCAUGCAUGUUAUUUAGACAUGUAUAUCACCAAUCAAUCAUCACAUAUCUAUGAUUUUACUUAAGUAUAAUCUCCAUUUCAUCAUUUUAAAGCACAACAUGUUAGCCAAUUUUUCCCUUUAGCAUCUAAGGCACAUGCAUGUUCAUUUGUUUGGCUCAACUUCACCUAUCUUCCAUUUUUCAUCAAAAGAACAUGAAACAACGACCAUUUCCUUCAUUUUAAUUCAUGACCAAAUGCUCACAAUACAACCAAAAACCAAAAUAUGCUUCAAGAGUUAAGGUAGAAUCAAGAAGAACUCAUGAACAUCAAGAUAGAAGCAAACUACCAUGAACUUACCUUCAAUUUUCUUCCCCAAGUGACCAAACAUUUAAGAGCUUUCUCCUCUCCUUUCUCUUCUCUAACUUUAGGCUAUGAUGAACAAAGAUGGACAAAACUUUGUUCUUUUCAUCCCUUUUUCUUUUAAUAAAAUUUCAUAUUUCAUCCAUUUAAUUUUUUAAUACAAAGACAUGAAAUUCCCAUCAUGGAACAUUUACCUAAACCAUUAUCAUGGAACAUUUACCUAACCCAUUAUCAUGGAAUAUUUACCUAAUCCAUUGUCAUGGAACAUUUACCUAACCCAUUAUCAAUUUGUAUCAAUUUGUACCAUAAAUUAUGGAUAUCAAGUGCUCAUAUUGUCUACAACAACAUGAUGGCUAGCCACUUCAUGUAAAAUGGGAGGUUUGUCAUGCAAAUCCUCCUAUUUUGCACUCCUAUUUAUUUGGCCACUUCAAUUUAGCCUAUAGCAUUUUCAAACAUUUUCACAUAGGUUUUAUUUCAUAAUUUCACCCCCUUUUUCUUAUGGAACAAAAAUUAACUAAAAUUACCGGGUUCUAUCUUAAGCUUGGGCCUUCUAGAGGCCCACUAACAUAAUUAAACCUAUGCCAACAUUCACAGAAUUCUCGAAAAUUGGGGCGUUACAGUAGGUACUAAAUCCAUUUCUCCAAAAGUGAAACACUUGUACGCAGAAUUCCAAAACUGAACUAUAACCUGAAAUAGAUGCUUGUCAACUCUAAUGUCUAGCAAGUAGGAUAUAUCACCGUAGCUUUGAUAAAACAACUGCUUGGUCCCUUCAUCCCAACUAGCCUAAAUGUCUCUCAACUCUUGCAGCUCAUUCUGUGCUACGUUGACGCGAGUGAAAUCUUGCAAAUCCGAUAUAUACCCUUCUGCCAAGCUAUCCCCUCUCUCGGAUUGUAGCCUCUCCGACCAUGCACGAACGGUUGCAUUAUCCUCGACUUUACUAAGAAAUUCAUUCUCCAUGUCAAACUUUCUAACUUAGUAAUUGAAUACGGAUUAACACCUCCUUUAGUAUGCAAUGUCAUGCAAAAAAAAACAAUCAAAACAAAACACAGGUUAGUACCACAUAAUAAUGAUAAAAUGCAAGCACAUAAACGAUAAUUACAACGCAUAUACGGCUAAGUACUAAGGCUCGACGCGGCUUCACCCAAGGAUAGCUCCUAAGGUUCAUUAUAUGUGGUUCGGUUCUAGAGAUAAGGUACCCGAACCAGCAGAUUCCUCAAUCCUCACCUAUUAUAGGCUCAUAUAGAUCGAGUUCGGUUCGGGGGGAUACAUUUCCCUAUGACCAUGCGGAGAUGAAACUCUCACGAAAUCAUAGGUACGGAUGUACCCCGGAAGUAAUCCACUAGCCCAUGCGGAGGUGAAAACCUCACGAAAGCGUAGUUUCUUACUCCCACUUAGAAGGUGUGACCACAGCGGUCACGCAAUGAAAUACAGUACUAUUCUACGAGAUUUGAACCAUAACAAUCAUACAAACAAAUGCAAUUAUGAUUUUCAAAACAAGUUUUCGAUUUUUGACAAAAAGACAGCAAAUAAAUCGAUUUUAUGGCUCGACUCUCAAUCUCAUCCCCAGCGGAGUCGCCAAGUUGUCGAAACCAUCCUUUUUUCAAAAAAAAAAUUUAGGUUAAUGAAAAACGGACAGAGAUCGACUUUUUGAAAAUAAGACAUGGAAACGAAGUCGCCACCGAUCUUUUGUUUUAGUGUGAUCGGAUCGCCUAAGAAUUAAAAUAUUUUUGGUUUACUAAAACAACGAUUCUGGUCUACGAAAAUAUGAGAAAAUGGGCUCGGGAGUCAGUUACGUAUGAGGAAGGAUUAGCACCCUCACUACGCCCAAAAUUAGUACCAAAUCGAUUAAAUACUAUCCUUAUGCCUAAAAUUAAAAAUGUUUUUGAAACGUGGUUCUUUUUUAAUAAUAUUUGAAUAACCCGAGUUGGUUGCCAAAAAUCUUCUUGCUUUGACGUCCGAAAAUUUAUAAUUCGAAAAUCACAAAAGGAUGCUCAACUAUUUAGUCCAACAGAAAACCGAAACCCAGCACAGUAGGGUACGAUUCCUCGCAUUUCCCAAACAUUGACCAUUGCCUCACCUUAGAAAAUACGAGUGAAAUUCCGAAAGAGAUAUUCGAUUAUUUUAAACAAAUGGGGAUUGCAACCCAGCACGAUAGGGCACUAUUCGUCGAAUUGCCAAACAUCGAAUAUUUCUUCAGUUUUAAAGAGUUUUUAGAAAACGUGAGUGGAAUUCCGAAGAGAUCUUCGAUCGUUUUGAACAAAUGAAAAAGCACAAUCCAGCACGAUAGGGGACGAUUCUCGAAUUGCCAAACAUCGAACAUCGCCUUUGUUUUGAAGGGUUUUCUUAAAAAACAUAAGUGAAAACCUAAAGGAACAUUCGAUUAUUUUGAAAAAACGAGAAAUCACAACCCAACACGAUAGGGCAUGAUUCUCGAAUGGUCGAACACCGAGUAUUGCCUUCGUUUUAAAGGACUUUUAGAAGAUCUGAGUGAAAUUUCGAAGGGAUAUUUGAUUAUUUUGAGCGAACGAGAAAUUACAACCCAACACGUUAGUGCACGAUUCCGCGAAUUGCUAAAUAUCAAACUUUGCCUUCGUUUUAAAGAAUUUUUAAAAGGCGUGAGUGAAAUUUUGAAGGGAUAUUCGAUUAUUUUGAGCAAACACAAAAUUGCAACCCAGCACAUUAGGGCACUAUUUCGCGAAUUGCCAAAUAUCAAAUCUCAUCUUCGUCUUAAAGAAUUUUUAAAUGGAUACUUAUAAAACUAGCUUAAAACAUAUUAAUUCGACUUGAAGUAAAACGGAGUCGAUCUUAAGAAUUGGGAUUUUAUAAAACCACAUUUCAAAAAUCACGUGGAAAACGAUGAUAUGGGGUGAUGUACACAUAUGAAAUGCCAUACUUGAUGAAUGAGAAUAUUAAUCAACUACCAGAAUAAGCAAUUAAAUAUAAUUAACCUAAGUUAUAACCUAAUUUCAACUGCGUAUGAAUAAUAAUUGACAUAUCAACAAGAUGAAUACCAUGCAAUGGUAAUGUAUAUGCUACAAUAUAGAAAAACCUAAAAGAUAUAUGCAAAACAAAAUACAAUUCAAAAGUCAAAGUAGUAUAAAACGAUGUCGAAACAAAGGCGAUCUAAUGAACCAAUAAUUUAUACGACAUGCGAAUUAAUGAAUUGAUGCAUUUUAAAUCUAUUUGUAAAAGAAAAAAAAACCUAGGGAUAUAUACUUAAUACAUAUUAUAAAAUGAAUGUUUUAAUCGGACAUCAUACCAAAACAUUAAAUAAUAUUGGUUUUAAAAAUGAGGAUUUAUAGUAUGAAAAAUUUAAAAUAUGUGUAAAAUAUAUUAAAAAUAAUAAUAAUAAAAAUGUAUAAUACCAUAUAAUCUUUAAAAACAUAAUGGUUCUACAAAUUAUACGUAUAUAUAUAUAUAACUUUUAAAAAUUAUUAUUUGUAAAAAAUAUUGAAAUAUCUACGAGCUUAAAUUAAUUUUAUUAUAAAUUAUAUAAUGGAUUGAAGAAUAUGCUUACAUAUGUAUGAAGAAAACUAUAUGUGUAAAAUGUAUGGUUUUGAUAAUGUAUAUAAACCAAAGAUAUGUACAAAUAUAAGUAAGUAUAAAAUAAUUUAAACUUUAUGCAAAAUAUAUAAAAACAUAUUAAAAUACAAAAAAUAUAGGUUAAAAUGCAUGGAUAGAGUCAACAAAUCAUUAGGUGCAUGAAAUAAUAUUAACUUUAUUUUAAAAUAUACAUAUAUGUAUCUAAAAGAACGUUUUAAACAAACAAAUUUAAAGAAAAAUAAAUAGAUGGAUAUAUAUAGUUACAUAUAUAGAUAUAUAUACAUGGAAUGAUGUUAACUUAUUAUAAAGUGUAUAUAUACAUAUAUAUAUGAUAAUGCGUAAAACAUUUGUACAAGAUACAUAAGUUUUAUUAUAAAAUAUGUGUGUGUACAGUAAUACAAAGGAAAUAAACAUUUAAAACAUACAAAACGUGAUAAUAACAUUACAAACGAACAAAAAAUUUAUAAAAAUGGAGAAACAAUGAUCAAAGUGAUUGAAUAUGCAAAAAUAAUUGAUUAAGAAUAAAAAAAAGGAUAAAACAAAGAAAAACUUAAUUAAAAUUAAACUAAAACAGCAGGGACAAUUUGAAAAUAAAACAAUAGCAAUAAAAGGACCAAUAAUUAACGCGCGAAAAUAGCUAGGGACUAAAACUGGUAAUAUACCAGAUCCCAAAAUGCUGCGUUUAGACGCGGGUCCAUUUGCAAACGGGUGUAAAUCAUAGGGGUAAAUUAAUAAAAAACGAAACAAGAAUACGGGCUGAUUUGAAUAUGGCGCGAAAGGGAGGGACUGAUAUGGCAAAUAACCCCUCACCACGAAAAUGCGCGGGUCCUGGGGGUUAGGAGUCGGAUCGGGUCGAGUGUACCAAUAUGACGCCGUUUGGGAGGUCAUUGGGCAAAACCUAAAAUGGUGCCGUUUGAGGUCCUAUAAAAAUGCUAAAUCAGUAGAUUAAGCCGAACCCUAACCCUAGCCUCACUCCUUUCUCUCCAGCAGCCCCCAGAUCCCUCUCCUCAAAUGCCAAGCCGCCGUCAUGUGGAUGACCAACAUCCUCAGGCUGUGCGCGACUGUUUUUAUAGCCUUGUAGUUCCCCUUAAGUCUCUGAUUUUGGCGAAGAAAAGGAGAACCGAUGGCCUAAUUUCAAGGUAAGGUUUCAUUUUUUUUUGCACACUCAAAUUGCGAAGGAACAAAUGAAAAUAAAAAUAACAAGAACAAACUGAACAAAGAAGAAAAGAAGAGUCUCAGAGAUUUGAAUCGAAAUCACAUUCGAAUACUCAUUGCUUUUUUUGGUAUAUUCCUCUGUUUUUCGUUUUCUAUUGUUUUUGUAUGCGUAAAUGUGCGUAACAAAAAAAAAUAGACAAGGACUCUAGCUUUAUAGCAGAAACAAAAUCAGAAAGAUAUAAAAUACCAAUACAAAAUUCUUCUUUCCUAUUUGCUGUUGUGGUUUUGUAUUCUUUUGCAGGUACGGGUGCAAGGCGCGUGUACGGGUGUUGUGCUGGCACUUGGCGUGGGCGUACGAGGGCUGGGGCUGCUAUCUAGUUGCUGUUGUGGCGCAGGAGAAAAGGGGUGACCUAGGGUUUGCCGAAAUUGGUUUGGUAUUUGGGCCGUUUGGGCCCGUUUAUGUUAGGGAUAGAUAUUUUUGGGCCAAUAAACUGUUAAUAUUGGUUGUAAUAUUUUGACUUUUAUGAUAGACUAUUAGUUUGGUAUUAUUCUUUGGACUUUUGGUUUAAUAACUGGGUAUUUAUUUUGGGUUUUGGUUCUAACGUGGGCCCAGGCAAAUUGGCCCAUUUACACCCAUGACCCAAAAACUCCCUGGGCUGCUGUGCUUGUUUCGAAAUGUCUAUGUAAUGAUACCAGUCGUUCCCAGUGCUCUCCCACUUGGAAUGGCCUUAAUAUCACACAACACCUUCUGUCUAAGGGCAUUAGAUGGUUUGUUAGCAAUGGUUCCAACAUGAAUAUUUGGUCUGAAAGUUGGUCAGGGCUUGGCCUCAUUAGAAAUCUCAUUAAAGGU
rnacentral:lncRNA from 1 species